UAUGCGGUUCCAAGAAUUUAACGUAUUUCAGCUUUUCUAUUUUUAAUUGAUUAAAAAGUGAAUACGUUUUAUAUAAAAUCAAGUCAUUGUUCCCCAUUCCAAGACAACAUUAUCCAGCAUUUGUUUGAACGAAUAACAACAUCUAUAGUCGCAAUGAAUUUCUUUAACAUGUUUGUAUUUAUCGUCCUGUUGGUGACCUUAUUCACUGUGCAAAUAGAGGCAAAGAAGCACAAACAUCAGUAUAAAAUGAAAACUAAAACCAAAACCAAAGUGAAGACUAAAUAUAAUGUGGAAAAUAACUCACCGGGUACAAUGUAUUCGCCGUAUAGCAACACUCACGGUCCAGUGUAUUGGCCGGUUGGGAAUAACUAUCAUCACUUGAUGUGAUAGAUUUACUGGAUGCGAUUGGUAGUGGUACAAUGAAAUAAACCAAUAAAUUUAACUGUGAAUUAAUCAAGAAUAAAUUUCGUAGACGUUUAUUUUUCGAAAAUAAUAAAUAAAAGAUGUUAUAUUUAGCUUUCACUUUUGUGAGUAUCCCAACUGUAGAUUCUACUUAGAUGUAGAUACGUAGUCGUAGUCCCGCCGCUUAGUAAACGAAAUGAGAAUUUGAAUAUGAAACAACUCAUUGAACUUUCAGAGUACACAAAAGGCUUGCUUUUAUAAGAGUUAAAAAAUGUAUACGUGGCGAAAUUUUUGCAAAGUGUUCGUUUGUUAUUAGAAACUGAUGUUAGGAAAAAAAUUGUUUAAUUUGAUCCAAAAAUCAAGAGUUCGGUGAUGGUCAAGAAAGCAUAUAAAAAUUGCAACUUCCCAGAUUACUUGUGCUUAA
rnacentral:sRNA from 1 species